UACGGAGGGUGCAAGCGUUAUCCGGAUUCACUGGGUUUAAAGGGCGCGUAGGAGGGCAGGUAAGUCAGUGGUGAAAUCUUCGAGCUUAACUCGGAAACUGCCGUUGAUACUAUCUGUCUUGAAUACCGUGGAGGUCAGCGGAAUAUGUCAUGUAGCGGUGAAAUGCUUAGAUAUGACAUAGAACACCAAUUGCGAAGGCAGCUGGCUACGCGAAUAUUGACACUGAUGCACGAAAGCGUGGGGAUCAAACAGG
rnacentral:rRNA from 1 species